CACGGGGGGAGCAAGCGUUGUUCGGAAUCACUGGGCGUAAAGGGCGUGUAGGCGGUUCGGUAAGUGGAAUGUGAAAUCCCUCGGCUCACCCGAGGACCUGCAUCCCAAACUGCCGAGCUUGAGUAUGGGAGAGGAUGAGGGAAUUCCUGGUGUAGCGGUGAAAUGCGUAGAUAUCAGGAGGAACACCGUGGCGAAGGCGCUCAUCUGGCCCAAUACUGACGCUGAUGCGCGAAAGCUAGGGGAGCAAACAGG
rnacentral:rRNA from 1 species